rnacentral:rRNA from 1 species
UACAGAGGGUGCGAGCGUUAAUCGGAAUUACUGGGCGUAAAGGGCGCGUAGGCGGUUAUAUAAGUUGAAUGUGAAAUCCCUGGGCUUAACCUAGGAACUGCAUGCAAGACUGUAUGACUCGAGUGCUGUAGAGGGUAGUGGAAUUUCCGGUGUAGCGGUGAAAUGCGUAGAUAUCGGAAGGAACACCAGUGGCGAAGGCGGCUACCUGGACAGACACUGACGCUGAGGCGCGAGAGCGUGGGGAGCAAACAGGAUUAGAUACCCCGUAGUCC